CUUAAUAUGAUCAAUUUCUUAGAUUUUCGUGGUUAAAGGCUGACAAUUUCUUAUGGCUGUAAAAUCCCUCAAUACUCUUUUUUCUGAACAUUACUUGGUGAUGUAGUGUAUAUUGGUAACUCUUAAAAUUUUUAUUCUGCUCAAGGGCAGAAAUUUCUUCUUGCCUAGGUUUCUUCCAAUUAUGAUUUUGGGCAGCUUCCUCGUAAUUCCUUGGUUCAUUCUCACUGUCAUAUAGGUUCAAUUAUAUUGGAGAAGAAUGACCUCUCCGGUUCAAUUAUAUUUGUUGAAAAAUCACACGAAGAUUCUCUCUUAGGUUAACUUCUACUCAUAGUUCAUCACAAACAUUUGACAUCCCUUAUUGGUUACUGUAUUGAAGGAACCAAUAAGGGCCUCAAAUAUGAGUACAUGGCUAAAGGAAACUUAUAAGAACAUCUCUCAGGUUACAAGAAUCACCAUUCUUGAGCUGGAAGGACAGAUUUCGUGUAGCAGUGGAUGCAGGACUGGAGUAUCUGCACAAUGGUUACAAGUUUCCUAGAAUGCAGAUAGAUGUUACGAGAAAAGAAAGGAU
rnacentral:sRNA from 1 species